GCGGGGGUAGCAAAGCCUGGCCAAAUGCGCGGGACUUAAGAUCCCGUUCCCGCAGGGGAUACGAGGGUUCGAAUCCUUCCCCCCGCA
rnacentral:tRNA from 1 species